UGGCUCAGAACGAACGCUGGCGGCGCGUCUUAAGCAUGCAAGUCGAACGGCAAGAGGUAGCAAUACCUCCUAGAGUGGCGGACUGGUGAGUAACACGUGGGUGACAUACCCUUCAGAUGGGGAUAGCUAUUAGAAAUAGUAGAUAAUACCGAAUACGAGCACAGGGGUUAGAGAUCUGUGAGGAAAGGAGCUAAGGCUCCGCUGAAGGAAUGGCCUGCGGCCCAUUAGCUAGUUGGUGAGGUAAGAGCCCACCAAGGCGAUGAUGGGUAUCCGGCCUUAGAGGGUGAACGGACACAUUGGGACUGAGAUACGGCCCAGACUCCUACGGGAGGCAGCAGCUAAGAAUAUUCCGCAAUGGACGAAAGUCUGACGGAGCGACGCCGCGUGGAUGAAGAAGGCCGGAAGGUUGUAAAAUCCUUUUGAAACUGAAGAAUAAGCGUUGUAGGGAAUGACAGCGUGGUGACAGUAGGUUUUGAAUAAGCAACGGCUAAUUACGUGCCAGCAGCGGC
rnacentral:rRNA from 1 species